AUGAGGCUCCUGUUCUUGAUUAUAUACCUUUGCUCAGACUGCUUUUAUGCACAAUGUCAGGUGGUGGUGGUUGUGCAAAAGGACCCUCUAAUAGCGGCUGAACUUGGAGCCAAUGUGACAAUUCUUUGUAAUUAUUCCUCCGACUUAAUGAAUAAAGUUUCAUGGUACAAGCAGACUUUCGGAACAAGACCACUACUAGUUGCAGACUCUCAGCGCUAUUCAAAAGAAGCCACAUUUUAUAAUGGUUUUGACAAAAACCAUUAUAUUGUACAGAAUGAAGAUGGCAGUUGUGCUUUGAGCAUUGUGAAAACAGAGCAGUCUGAUUCUGCGACCUACUACUGUGCUGUGGCUUUUAUGAAUAUCAUUACUUUUGGAGAUGGAACCGUUUUGGUGAUCAAAGAUUCUGAAGUUUCUAUCCUUAAACUUCUCCAGCAGCCUGCAUUACAGAUAAUGAAUCCAGGAGACUCCGUGACUCUGAAGUGUACAUUCCUCACUGAGAGCUGUGCAGGAGAGCACAGUGUCUACUGGUUCAGACAUGGUUCUGGAAAAUCUCAAAAUACACAGAGCUGUGUGUACAUACUCCCCAAGAGGAACCUCAGCCUCUCUGAUGCUGGAAUUUACUACUGUGCUGUGGCUGCAUGUGGGCAGACCCAACCAAAUGUGAAGAAGAGAUGA